AUUGAACGCUGGCGGCAUGCCUUACACAUGCAAGUCGAACGGCAGCGGGCCUUCGGGUGCCGGCGAGUGGCGAACGGGUGAGUAAUGCAUCGGAACGUGCCAUUGAGUGGGGGGAUAACGUAGCGAAAGUUGCGCUAAUACCGCAUAUUCUGUGAGCAGGAAAGCAGGGGACCGCAAGGCCUUGCGCUCUUUGAGCGGCCGAUGUCAGAUUAGCUAGUUGGUGAGGUAAAGGCUUACCAAGGCGACGAUCUGUAGCGGGUCUGAGAGGAUGAUCCGCCACACUGGAACUGAGACACGGUCCAGACUCCUACGGGAGGCAGCAGUGGGGAAUUUUGGACAAUGGGGGGCAACCCUGAUCCAGCCAUGCCGCGUGAGUGAAGAAGGCCUCGGUUGUAAA
rnacentral:rRNA from 1 species